rnacentral:rRNA from 1 species
GACGAACGCUGGUGGCGUGCCUAAUACAUGCAAGUUGAGCGCUGAAGGUUGGUACUUGUACCGACUGGAUGAGCAGCGAACGGGUGAGUAACGCGUGGGGAAUCUGCCUUUGAGCGGGGGACAACAUUUGGAAACGAAUGCUAAUACCGCAUAAAAACUUUAAACACAAGUUUUAAGUUUGAAAGAUGCAAUUGCAUCACUCAAAGAUGAUCCCGCGUUGUAUUAGCUAGUUGGUGAGGUAAAGGCUCACCAAGGCGAUGAUACAUAGCCGACCUGAGAGGGUGAUCGGCCACAUUGGGACUGAGACACGGCCCAAACUCCUACGGGAGGCAGCAGUAGGGAAUCUUCGGCAAUGGACGAAAGUCUGACCGAGCAACGCCGCGUGAGUGAAGAAGGUUUUCGGAUCGUAAAACUCUGUUGGUAGAGAAGAACGUUGGUGAGAGUGGAAAGCUCAUCAAGUGACGGUAACUACCCAGAAAGGGACGGCUAACUACGUG